UACGUAGGGUGCAAGCGUUAAUCGGAAUUACUGGGCGUAAAGCGUGCGCAGGCGGUGAUGUAAGACAGGCGUGAAAUCCCCGGGCUUAACCUGGGAACUGCAUUUGUGACUGUAUAGCUAGAGUACGGUAGAGGGGGAUGGAAUUCCGCGUGUAGCAGUGAAAUGCGUAGAUAUGCGGAGGAACACCGAUGGCGAAGGCAAUCCCCUGGACCUGUACUGACGCUCAUGCACGAAAGCGUGGGGAGCAAACAGG
rnacentral:rRNA from 1 species